ensembl:misc_RNA Gm24858 predicted gene, 24858
GCAUCUGAGGGCAGUUUGGCUGAAACUGCAUCCCUGUCCAUCCAUAGAGCUGAUGCUGUCUAUUUACCUGACUAGGCCAGGGUCCCUUUCUUCUCUCACCACUUCAUGGGCAUCUCUCUUGAAACUGCACACUUAGUGAUGGAAGUUGGUGUUCUCUGAACUAUUUCUUAGUCAAAGAUACAAGAGUAGCUAUACUCCCAUUCCAGAACCUUCAAACAAGCUCUCGAGAGUAAGAACUGUACCCAACAUGGUGGCACAGGCCUCUAAUUCCAGCACUCAGGAGAAAGGCGGACAGAUUUCUAGAAUGAGGCUAGCCUUGUCUA